ACUCAAAUGAAUUGACGGGGGCCCGCACAAGCAGCGGAGCGUGUGGUUUAAUUCGAGGCUACACGAAGAACCUUACCUGGGUUGGACAUGGCGGUGGUAGGGAAGCGAAAGCGGACCGACCUUCGGGAGCCGUCACAGGUGCUGCAUGGCUGUCGUCAGCUCGUGUCGUGAGAUGUUCGGUUAAGUCCGAAAACGAGCGCAACCCCUAGGAUGCGUUACACGUGUCGCAUCCGACUGCCCGUGACAAACGGGAGGAAGGUGGGGAUGACGUCAAGUCAGCAUGGCCUUUAUAUCCAGGGCUACACACACGCUACAAUGGUCGGUACAACGGGACGCGAAGCGGCGACGUGCAGCCAAUCCCCCAAAGCCGAUCGUAGUUCGGAUUGCAGGCUGCAACUCGCCUGCAUGAAGCUGGAGUUGCUAGUAACCGCGCGUCAGCCAUAGUGCGGUGAAUACGUUCCCGGGCCUUGUACACACCGCCCGU
rnacentral:rRNA from 1 species